rnacentral:rRNA from 1 species
GUGCCAGCAGCCGCGGUAAUACGUAAGGACCGAGCGUUGUCCGGAAUCAUUGGGCGUAAAGCGCGCGUAGGCGGUUUUUUAAGUCUGAUGUGAAAGCCCACGGCUCAACCGUGGAGGGUCAUUGGAAACUGGAAAACUUGAGUGCAGAAGAGGAAAGUGGAAUUCCAUGUGUAGCGGUGAAAUGCGCAGAGAUAUGGAGGAACACCAGUGGCGAAGGCGACUUUCUGGUCUGUAACUGACGCUGAUGUGCGAAAGCGUGGGGAUCAAACAGGAUUAGAUACCCUGGUAGUCAAGGGCG